rnacentral:sRNA from 1 species
GCCUCUAGAAUUGAUGAAGCACAACCAA